ACGAACGCUGGCGGCGUGCCUAAUCCAUGCAAGUCGAGCGGACGAAUCGAAAGCUUGCUUUUGAUUCGUUAGCGGCGGACGGGUGAGUAACACGUGGGCAACCUGCCCUGUAGACGGGGAUAACACCGAGAAAUCGGUGCUAAUACCGGAUAACACGAAAUGUCGCAUGACGUUUCGUUGAAAGACGGCGCAAGCUGUCGCUACAGGAUGGGCCCGCGGCGCAUUAGCUAGUUGGUGAGGUAACGGCUCACCAAGGCGACGAUGCGUAGCCGACCUGAGAGGGUGAUCGGCCACACUGGGACUGAGACACGGCCCAGACUCCUACGGGAGGCAGCAGUAGGGAAUCUUCCGCAAUGGACGAAAGUCUGACGGAGCAACGCCGCGUGAGCGAAGAAGGCCUUCGGGUCGUAAAGCUCUGUUGUUAGGGAAGAACAAGUAACGCAGUAACUGGCGUUACCGUGACGGUACCUAACGAGAAAGCCACGGCUAACUACGUG
rnacentral:rRNA from 1 species